GGUGCUCCAGACCUUCUGGAUUAUUCCUAUGAUCCUCGAGUGAUCGUCGGUCUGGGAGAGCGUUCCGAUAUCCUCUGUGGGUACCAGCUCCCCGUGAUUGACCCUUAGGAUGUCCCUCAGUACCCGGUAUCGGUCCUGAAACAGCUUCCUGAAAUCGUCUAUCUUUCCGGCCGUACCCAUGUUCUCUAUCGGAUCGAACAGUACCUCAAUCCCGCACUCAUACUCGCUUGCAAGAGGGGGUAGACGGCCUCCAGGUCCGGACCCGAGAUGUUUCGCGGUUUCCUCUUUCUUUUUGGCUUUUUUUCCUCUUAGCGGGAUCUCCCUGAUCGGGAUAAUGGU
rnacentral:rRNA from 1 species